rnacentral:rRNA from 1 species
GACGAACGCUGGCGGCGUGCUUAACACAUGCAAGUCGAACGCUGAAGCACCAGCUUGCUGGUGUGGAUGAGUGGCGAACGGGUGAGUAAUACGUGAGUAACCUGCCCUUGACUCUGGGAUAAGCCCGGGAAACUGGGUCUAAUACUGGAUGCUACAUGUCACCGCAUGGUGGUGUGUGGAAAGGGUUUACUGGUCUUGGAUGGGCUCACGGCCUAUCAGCUUGUUGGUGGGGUAAUGGCUCACCAAGGCGACGACGGGUAGCCGGCCUGAGAGGGUGACCGGCCACACUGGGACUGAGACACGGCCCAGACUCCUACGGGAGGCAGCAGUGGGGAAUAUUGCACAAUGGGCGAAAGCCUGAUGCAGCGACGCCGCGUGAGGGAUGACGGCCUUCGGGUUGUAAACCUCUUUCAGCAGGGAAGAAGCCACAAGUGACGGUACCUGCAGAAGAAGCGCCGGCUAACUACGUG